UCUUGUUGCUCCACUCCUCUCCCGAUGUGGAGGAAGGUACCAUUGCCCCGAAGUGGAGGCGGCCGUCGAUCUGUGCCCCUCUCGCGCGCCGCCUCCACACGGCGUGGAUCUACUAUCCCUUCAUACGGCCCACGCGCUGAUUUUGGGACUGUUCAUUUCCUCCCCGGCACGGGACGGACCACACUGCCAUGUCAUUUUGCUGCAACCAGACCACAGCCCGUACCCUCGCGCUCAAUGCAGAGGGUCAUUCUUCCUGUGGUGACUACGCGCUCCUCACGGUGGUGGCACGCUGCCCGCUGUGUUGCCAUUCUCCCAGCGACUGCGCCCUUCGACCCCUACCUCUAAUUAAGAGAUGAAGCUGCAAAGAAGCAUAAUGGGGAAGAAGCAGGUUUCGACAUUGGACUUUUGAACAAAUCAUAUAAUGGAGACUGCUUGUUUUCUAAUAAAAGGUAAAGUUACCAAGUGAACAGAGCGGACAGUACUUGUAUUAGUGUUUUCAAGUGUUUACAUACACAGGCUGGAAGGUGGUUCAUGUUUUACAAAAUUGUGCUUGUGUAGCAAUACUUCCUGCAACAACUAAAUUGUUUCAUGAUCCAUUGUGAGGCGUCGCCAGGCCUUGAUUUUGAAUUUUUCAGUAUUUCUCAGAUAUGUUUGGUUCAGAUUUUAAACGUAAAAACUACAUUGUUCCUGUGAUCCAUUGCGAGGCAUAUAAAUGCUUUGAUUUUGACUUUAUUUUUCAGCAGAGUUCAGCUAGUAUUGGAUAAAAGUUGGACAAAUGCAGAUAGGUAAGGGUUAUCAAUGAUGGUUUACGAUCAAAGUUGGGCGAAUAGCCUUCCCGAGCCAACAUACGAAAAGCUGGAUUGGGUACUAAUGAGGAUCGAUUGGGUAGAUAAAUUCCCGUUGGUAACAGUGCGCACUCUCGAACCUAUUGAGGCAUUAGCUGACCAUGUCCCCAUCCUUUCAAAUUCGAGUUGGGAUGGUUGGAACGUGAUGGAUUUUAUGAGUUAGUUAAAAAAAGGUGUGCUCCAAGCCAGUGGAUGGUGAUUCACCUAUUCGAAAAUGGAAUAAAAAAAUCGUAAUCUCCGUAACUAUCUUCGAGGCUGGA